rnacentral:tRNA from 1 species
GUUGUAGCUCAGUGGUAGAGUGUUUGCUCCUCAUGUAUGAGACCCUGGGAUCGAGCCUCAGCACCACA